rnacentral:rRNA from 1 species
GAUGAACGUUGGCGGCGUGCCUAAUACAUGCAAGUCGAACGAAGACUGUAGUAAUACUGUCUUAGUGGCGAACGGGUGAGUAACGCGUGGGUGACCUGCCCCGAAGUGUGGGAUAACAGUUCGAAAGAACUGCUAAUACCGCAUAACAUCCAAGAGAUUAGAAGCUUUUGGAUUAAAGGAGUAAUUCGCUUCGGGAGGGGCCCGCGUCCCAUCAGCUAGUUGGUAAGGUAAUGGCUUACCAAGGCGAUGACGGGUAGGGGACCUGAGAGGGUGGCCCCCCACAAUGGAACUGAAACACGGUCCAUACACCUACGGGUGGCAGCAGUAGGGAAUAUUAGUAAUGGGCGAAAGCCUGAACUAGCAACGCCGCGUGUGCGAAGAAGGCCUUCGGGUGUAAAGCACUUUUUGAGAGGAUGAGGAAGGACGGUACUCUCAGAAUAAGUCUCGGCUAACUACGUGCCAGCAGCCGCGGUAAUCGUAGCGUG